AACGAACGCUGGCGGCAGGCCUAACACAUGCAAGUCGAGCGAGGACUUCGGUUCUAGCGGCGGACGGGUGAGUAACGCGUGGGAAUGUGCCCUUCUCUACGGAAUAGCCCUGGGAAACUGGGAGUAAUACCGUAUACGCCCUAUUGGGGAAAGAUUUAUCGGAGAAGGAUCAGCCCGCGUUGGAUUAGGUAGUUGGUGGGGUAAUGGCCUACCAAGCCGACGAUCCAUAGCUGGUUUGAGAGGAUGAUCAGCCGCACUGGGACUGAGACACGGCCCAGACUCCUACGGGAGGCAGAAGUGGGGAAUCUUAGACAAUGGGGGCAACCCUGAUCAAGCCAUGCCGCGUGAGUGAUGAAGGCCUUAGGGUUGUAAAGCUCUUUCAGCUGGGAAGAUAAUGACGGUACCAGCAGAAGAAGCCCCGGCUAACUCCGUG
rnacentral:rRNA from 1 species